GUUUAGCGGCGAACGGGUGAGUAAUAAGUACAAACAUGCCCCUUUGUAGGACAUAGUCCGCCGAAAGGCGGGGUAAUUUCCUAUAGUAUCUUCGGAUUAAAGACGCAAGUCGCGAAGGGAUUGGUGUACUCGCUACCAGCUUGUUGGUGAGGUAAUGGCUCACCAAGGCUAUGACGGCUACCGGCUCUUAGCGGAGAGUCCGGCACAAUGGGACUGAGACACGGCCCAUACUUCUACGGAAGGCAGCAGUUAGGAAUUUUGCGCAAUGGACGAAAGUCUGACGCAGCGACAUCGCGUGUGGGAUGACAGCCUUAGGGUUGUAAACCACUUUUUGAGAGCCAUGAAGGCGCCCAGAAUAAAGAACUACUAACUACGUGCCAGCAGUCGCGGUAAUACGUAGGUUCCGAGCGUUACCCGGAUUUAUUGGGCGUAAAGGGUCUGCAGGUGGUUUUCUAAGUCUUGUUUCAAAGUCCCCGACUUAAUCGGGGGAAGGGGCAGGAUACUGGAAGACUAGAGUUAUAUCGGGGUUACUGGAAUUUGUGGUGUAGGGGUAAAAUCCGUGGAUACCACAAAGAACACCAAGCGCGAAGGCGGGUAACUAGGUAUAUACUGACACUCAUAGACGAAAGCUAGGGUAGCCAAUCAGAUUAGAGACCUGAGUAGUCCUAGCCGUAAACAUUGUCUGUUAAUUUUCCCCCUUUUUGGGAGGAGAUGCUAGCUAACGCGUUAAACAGACCGCCUGGGGAGUAUAGCCGCAAGGCCGAAACUCAAACGAAUUGGCGGGGAGGCGCACAACCAGUGGAGCAUGUGGUUUAAUUCGAUACGAAGCGAUAAACCUUACCCGGGUUUGAAAUGUACCUGCAAGCCCCCAGAAACGGGGGAAUCUUUCGAAGGUGGUACACAGCUGUUGCAUGGCUGUCGUCAGCUCGUGACGUGAGUUGUUCUCUUAAGUGAGGUAACGAGCGCAACCCCUAUCGUAUGUUACUGUAUCAUACGAGACUGCCCAGCAUUAUUUUGUUGGGAGGAAGGAGGGGACGACGUCAAGUCAUCAUGAUGCUUAUAUCCGGGGCUACACACAUCCUACAAUGGGUUGUACAGAGGGUUGCAAUACCGCGAGGUGGAGCUAAUCCCUAAAACAAUCCUCAGUUGGGAUUGCAGGCUGAAAUUCGCCUGCAUGAACUUGGAAUUGGUAGUAAUCGCAAAUCAGCAGAUUGCGGUGAAUACGUUCUCGCCUCUUGCACACACUGCCCGUCAAAUCAACAAAGUUGAGGGUACCCAAUACCUCUGAUUCGUCAGGGACUAAGGUAAAUUCAGCGAUGAGGGUUAAGUCGUAACAAGGUAACC
rnacentral:rRNA from 1 species